UACGUAGGGUGCGAGCGUUAAUCGGAAUUACUGGGCGUAAAGCGUGCGCAGGCGGCUUUGCAAGACAGAUGUGAAAUCCCCGGGCUCAACCCGGGAACUGCAUUUGUGACUGCAAGGCUAGAGUACGGCAGAGGGGGAUGGAAUUCCGCGUGUAGCAGUGAAAUGCGUAGAUAUGCGGAGGAACACCAAUGGCGAAGGCAAUCCCCUGGGCCUGUACUGACGCUCAUGCACGAAAGCGUGGGGAGCAAACAGG
rnacentral:rRNA from 1 species